rnacentral:rRNA from 1 species
GAUGAACGCUAGCGACAGGCUUAACACAUGCAAGUCGAGGGGCAGCACGUUAUGGUGGCGACCGGCGCACGGGUGAGUAACACGUAUGCAACCUGCCCGCAACAGGGGUACAGCCCGGAGAAAUCCGGAUUAAUCCCCCAUAAAACAGUUAUACCACCUGGUAUUAUUAGUUAAAGGAGCAAUCCGGUUACGGAUGGGCAUGCGCAGGAUUAGGUAGUUGGCAGGGUAACGGCCUUCCAAGCCUACGAUCCUUAGGGGAACUGAGAGGUUGGCCCCCCACACUGGUACUGAGACACGGACCAGACUCCUACGGGAGGCAGCAGUGAGGAAUAUUGGUCAAUGGGCGAGAGCCUGAACCAGCCAAGUCGCGUGAAGGAAGGCGGUAUUAUGUAUUGUAAACUUCUCUUGUAAGGGAAUAAAUGAUGUUACGUGUAACAUUUUGCAGGUACCUUUCGAAUAAGCAUCGGCUAACUCCGUGCCAGCAGCCGCGGUAAUACGGAGGAUGCGAGCGUUAUCCGGAUUUAUUGGGUUUAAAGGGUGCGUAGGUUGUUUUGUAAGUCAGCGGUGAAAUAUUUGCGCUUAACGCAAAAGUUGCCGUUGAAACUGUAUGACUUGAGACAGUACGAGGCAGGCGGAAUUCGUAGUGUAGCGGUGAAAUGCAUAGAUAUUACGAGGAACGUCGAUAGCGCAGGCAGCUUGCCAGGUCUGUUCUGACACUGAAGCACGAAGGUGUGGGAAUCAAACAGGAUUAGAUACCCUGGGUAGUCCACACGGUAAACGAUGAAUACUGACUGUUUGCGAUACACAGUAAGCGGUUAAGCGAAAGCGUUAAGUAUUCCACCUGGGGAGUACGCCGGCAACGGUGAAACUCAAAGGAAUUGACGGGGGCCCGCACAAGCGGAGGAACAUGUGGUUUAAUUCGAUGAUACGCGAGGAACCCUUACCCGGGCUCGAACGGCUAAUGAAUGAUUGUGAAAAGCAGUCAGUCGCAAGACAGUAGU